GUUCUGAUCCACACUCCAUACCAGUAGGUGGCGGUAAUGCACACCAUUAAGUUGCUUGCCAACCGCCGUUAAAAACAAAAAGAAGAAGAAGAAGAAGAAGGUGCGUUCAGAGCUGAAUCCUGGUCU